GAUCUAGCUCAGGAUGAACGCUGGCGGCGUGCCUAAUACAUGCAAGUCGAACGCGAGCACUUGUGCUCGAGUGGCGAACGGGUGAGUAAUACAUAAGUAACCUGCCCUAGACAGGGGGAUAACUAUUGGAAACGAUAGCUAAGACCGCAUAGGUACGGACACUGCAUGGUGACCGUAUUAAAAGUGCCUCAAAGCACUGGUAGAGGAUGGACUUAUGGCGCAUUAGCUGGUUGG
rnacentral:rRNA from 1 species